AUUGAACGCUGGCGGCAUGCUUUACACAUGCAAGUCGAACGAUGAACCUUAGCUUGCUAAGGGGAUUAGUGGCGAACGGGUGAGUAAUAUAUCGGAACGUGCCUUGUAAUGCGGGAUAACUAGUCGAAAGAUUAGCUAAUACCGCAUACGACCUGAGGGGGAAAGUAGGGGAUCUUCGGACCUUACGUUAUAAGAGCGGCCGAUAUCAGAUUAGCUAGUUGGUGGGGUAAUGGCCUACCAAGGCGACGAUCAGUAGCUGGUCUGAGAGGACGACCAGCCACACUGGAACUGAGACACGGUCCAGACUCCUACGGGAGGCAGCAGUAGGGAAUUUUGGACAAUGGGCGCAAGCCUGAUCCAGCCAUGCCGCGUGAGUGAAGAAGGCAUUCGGGUUGUAAAGCUCUUUCGCAAGGGAAGAAAACCUACCAUCGAAGAAAUGGUGAGGCUGACGGUACCUUGAUAAGAAGCACCGGCUAACUACGUG
rnacentral:rRNA from 1 species